GUUCCAUACCCUCCAUUUUUGAACUUUUAGAGUCAAUAUGCUCCAGAAGUUCAAUUCUCGAAUUCGAACCUUAACUUUUCAGACAAAAUUUCCUCGCCCCCAAAGUCUGUUCGAAACCCUGAUCCGAUAAUUCCGCUGCAUGCGAAGACGAUCAAUUUAGGGAUGAAUGAAAUUGCCCAGUACUACACAAGCUCGUGGUGAGCCCUAGAACUCCACCAGCG
rnacentral:misc_RNA from 1 species